rnacentral:rRNA from 1 species
CCUACGGGUGGCAGCAGUGAGGAAUAUUGGUCAAUGGGCGCAAGCCUGAACCAGCCAAGUAGCGUGCAGGAUGACGGCCCUACGGGUUGUAAACUGCUUUUAUAAGGGAAUAAAGUGAGUCACGUGUACCGUUUUGUAUGUACUUUAUGAAUAAGGAUCGGCUAACUCCGUGCCAGCAGCCGCGGUAAUACGGAGGGUCCGAGCGUUAUCCGGAUUUAUUGGGUUUAAAGGGAGCGUAGGUGGGUUGUUAAGUCAGUUGUGAAAGGUUGCGGCUCAACCGGGGACUUGCAAUGGAUACUGGCAGUCUUGAGUACAGUUGAGGCAGGCGGAAUUCGUGGUGUAGCGGUGAAAUGCUUAGAUAUGACGAAGAACCCCGAUUGCGAAGGCAGCUUACUAAACUGCCACUGACGCUGAUGCUCGAAAGCGUGGGUAUCAAACAGGAUUAGAUACCCUGGUAGUC